AUUGAACGCUGGCGGCAGGCCUAACACAUGCAAGUCGAACGAGUGGCGGACGGGUGAGUAAUGUCUGGGAAACUGCCUGAUGGAGGGGGAUAACUAAUGGAAACAGUAGCUAAUACCGAAUACUAUCAGAUGUGCCCAGAUGGGAAUAGCUGGUUGGUGGGGUAACGGCUAACCAAGGCUACGAUACAUAGCUGGGCUGAGAGGAUGACCAGCCACUCUGUAACUGAGACACGGCCCAGAGUCCUACGGGCGGCAGCAGUGGGGAAUAUUGCACAUUGGGCGCAAGCCUGAUGCAGCCAUGCCGCGUGUACGAAGAAGGCCUUCGGGUUGUAAAGUACUUUCAGCGGGGAAGCGUUGCCCGCAGAAUAAGCACCGGCUAGCUCCGUGCCAGCAGCCGCGGUAAUAC
rnacentral:rRNA from 1 species